UAAGGAAUAUUGGUCAAUGGACGCAAGUCUGAACCAGCCAUGCCGCGUGAACGAUGAAGGUCCUCUGGAUUGUAAACUUCUUUUAUCUGGGACGAAAACGGGAUUUUUAUCUCAAUUGACGGUACCAGAGGAAUAAGCACCGGCUAACUCCGUGCCAGCAGCCGCGGUAAUACGGAGGGUGCGAGCGUUAUCCGGAUUUACUGGGUUUAAAGGGUGCGUAGGUGGGCUUAUAAGUCAGUGGUGAAAUCUCCGAGCUUAACUUGGAAACUUCCGUUGAUACUAUAGGUCUUGAAUUAUCUGGAGGUAAGCGGAAUAUGUCAUGUAGCGGUGAAAUGCUUAGAUAUGACAUAGAACACCAAUUGCGAAGGCAGCUUACUACAUAUAAAUUGACGCUGAGGCACGAAAGCGUGGGGAUCAAACA
rnacentral:rRNA from 1 species